AUCCAGUUGAUGAGUCCCAAAUAGGACGAAAUGCGCGUUAUCCUGGAU
rnacentral:hammerhead_ribozyme from 1 species